GACCCUGUCGUCUAGUGGCCAAGGACCUCAAGAUUUCCUCUUGAUGACGAAAGUUCGAAUCUUUCUGGGGUCGCCA
rnacentral:tRNA from 1 species